rnacentral:rRNA from 1 species
UGAGGGUGCAAGCGUUAAUCGGAAUUACUGGGCGUAAAGCGAGUGUAGGCGGCUUCGUAAGUCGGAUGUGAAAGCCCCGGGCUUAACCUGGGAAUUGCAUUCGAUACUGCGCGGCUAGAGACUGAUAGAGGGAAGUGGAAUUCCAGGUGUAGCGGUGAAAUGCGUAGAUAUCUGGAGGAACAUCAGUGGCGAAGGCGGCUUCCUGGAUCAAGACUGACGCUGAGGCUCGAAAGCGUGGGGGGAGCAAACAGGAUUAGAUACCCUGGUAGUCCACGCCCCUAAACGAUGUCAACUAGACGUUGGGCUCAUUAUGGAGCUUAGUGUCGAAGCUAACGCGUUAAGUUGACCCGCCUGGGGAGUACGGCAGCAAGGUUG